UAGACGAAGAUUUAGUAACGAGCCGGUUUUGCACUGCGGCAAUCCUUGUGUAACCUUUUUUUAUUUUUUCUUCGAACUAUUUAAACAAAAUUCCGAUGAUUUGCUCAUGAUAAUAAUGAAUUUAGUGAGAUAUAAAAGAAAUUUUGAAGUGUAUUAUUCUUUCGGUUAUUUGUGAAUGUAAGAAAUAAACGCGUUCAAACUGGCGACUGACAGUGGUAGUGACAGUAAGUCCAACAUGGCUUCUUCGGCUCGAAUUAUUCAGACUAAUUCCGCCUGGUUUCAAAAGAAAAUUAAUCUAAGGCCGCAGCAUCGGGGCGUACAUUUAGUGACUGAGGAAAUUUUAAGGCAGGUGCCCGAAUUAUCACAGUUUGCUAUGGGAUUGUGUCAUGUUCAAAUUUUGCACACUUCGGCGAGUCUCGCGCUAAACGAAAGUUGGGAUCCGGACGUUAGGGACGACAUGGAAAUGAUGUUGAAUAAAAUCGUGCCGGAGGGCUUAGCGUACAGACAUUCCUGCGAGGGACCAGACGAUAUGCCGGCGCACGUCAAGGCAUGUUUUCUCGGUUCAUCUUUAACUAUUCCAAUUACGGAGGGAAAGUUAAACCUGGGCACGUGGCAAGGAGUUUGGUUAUGUGAACACAGGGACCACGCAGGCUCACGUAAACUUCUUAUAACACUUAAUGGUUGUCUACGGGACGCCACAUGUACACCUCUUUCUCCCGUCAGCCCUAUGGCUAGCACGAGCAGUUAGGGAAAACACUCGGGGCAUUCAUUGUCUAAGCAUUGAUUGUCCCGAGGGUGCCGUUUACAUAUUUAAAAAACUAGUGUUGCGCACAGACUAAAAAAAUCUAUGACAAUAUGUACAUAUGUGUACAUUCUUUUUAUUUAGUAGAUUGUUUAAUGUAGGGGGGUUGAUUUUUCUGGUGCUGUACAGGCUUUUAUCAUUUGGGUGUCUCAAGUGUAAAUUAUAAUUUUAGAAAUAACGGGGUUUGACAUACACUUUUUGUAUAGAGCACGCAUUUAGGAGGGUAUCAUCAGUAACGUGGCUUCGAAUACUAUAGGAAACGCCUACGUUUCGUUAUUUUUUAAAAUCGGUACGGAAUGCGCCUCCUCAAAUCAAAUGUAAAUAAUAAUCAUUACGGGUUGUAAAUAGUGCGUGUGUGUUUAUGGACUGACUAGUCUGUCUUCCUUCCCUUAGCAAUAUCCAUUAUAGUGUCGACCUUUCCCUCCUGUGUGAAUACAACGAUCAAGAAAGUUCCGUUUGUUUCGCCGGCAUUUGCGUUUCGUAUAUGACGUACAGGGUUAAGCGCAAUGCUGGAUCCUGGUUAUCUUUGCCAUACGCGAUUUAACUACGAUUUGAGGCACGGAGCUUGGUAACCCAAGUAAGCAUUUCACUUUUGUAUGUAACAUGUUUUAUUUUUCGGAAGUUAAGUGUGUGCCGAAUUUUUUAAAAACAAUUUGACAACUAGACAGUGCUUAUUUGCGACACUGAGGAUGUGGAAAAAUUUUGCGCCGGUGAAUUAUGUGUACAUAAAAUUAGCAUUACAAGAGAGACAUCGGAACCUGUGAAAGUUACUUAUCCAAGUAACUCGAGUAUCAAGAUACUUAAAAACAAAAUGAACUUAGUUAUAGUUACUAAGUUACUUUGAAAAAAUAAACAAUUGCAUAACUAAAAGUUUUAUUUUCAUACAUUAGUUUUCAUAUACGUUGUCGUUGUUAACUAAAUUUAACCCACAAUUCUAAAUUAACGAAAUCGUGCGUCAACGGGGCGGAAAUGGUUUAUUCAAAAACAGUGGAAAUAAUUUAUUCAUUAUAUUAACAAAUUGUGUAAUAAAUAUUUUCGAGGUUAAGUGGAAGAACAGACGCCGGUAGUCUCCGCCGAACUGAACUUCGCCUUGUAGAAGUGUGUUAUUUUAUUUUUGGGGAUAAUUAAAGGCUAUAUUAUUAUUAUUAUCAAAACAAACAGAAAAAUGCGUAUUCAAAAACAGUAUAUUUAUUAUACAACGCGGAAAUUUUGUCUCCAGCACUGAACACAACUUCAAAACUACAAUGAUAAAAAAAUUGGUAUCAAUCUAUGUACUUUAAAUUUGUGGUCAGUGGCGUACUUCUCUAUGGUCAAGGGGGCAUAUUUUCAAAUGUUCAAAUGUUGGUAGCGUAUACUGCAGGAUUUCCCUGUUCAUUACUUUUGUCAAUGACUGUACAUAAAGUUAGCGAAAAAAUUCUUCCUAUUCAGAUCACAGAAUUGGUAAUGAGGAAGUGUUUUUUUUCUGUAUGUAUCUGCUCGUAAAGCAUCAGAAAAAAAUAAAAAAAAUUUUCUGGCAUAUCUUCGGAAUCUGAAUUUUCUGGUUUUCUUUAAAGCAAGAUAAUAACUGUUUAAUUGUCGGAUCUUCGGUGGUUUCUAAGAACCCCAUGAUACACUCUUAUCUUCUACAACAUAAAAAUUAUACUAAACACAAAUGUUUUAUACGAUAGUUACCGGAAUCGUGAUACUUUACUUACUCAAUUAGCCGAAGCAUUCAAGAUGAAAUAUUCCUCGCCAUAUCAGUCAUAUUCUUACUUCAAAAAUUAGCCAAAAUUUAUUAUUUUAGAAACUAUAAAUAUGACGCUUUUUUUAUUCUUUUUUAUUGUUUUUUUUUCUUUAUUUGUUUUUUGUGAUUGUCCGUUUUUUGUGAUUGUCCCAGAUCUAUUAGAAUUAGGAUUAAAGCUAUGACAAAAAGUGUUGCACGUUUAUUGUUUUGAUACAUUAAACUUUAAAAAUCAGAAUAUUAAAAUUGAUUAUUACUGAUUCUUUUAUUAAAUGAACUUCUUAACUGCAUAAUAUCCAUUGUAUUUGUUUAUUAUUUAUUUAUUUUAGAAUGAUGAUAUUAUUGUGUACAGAAUACCAAUAAAGUUAAUUAAAGGCCGCAGGCCAGCUUGGGGAAAAAGAUUUUGAUAACAAGAGACGCCUAGAUUAUUUUCAAAUUUCUAAGUUUGCCGCCAGAGGGCGUAUGAUUCAUGAUUAAGUAGAAAAUUGAUUUUUUUUCCAAAAUAUACCUAACAAUCAUGCAUACUCUUUGUGUAUUGUGUAAUCAUAUCUUACUUGAAUAGUCUUUUUAGUAAACGUGUAAACGCGUUUGAACAUUAACAUCCAUUUCAAACGAGAUUUCACAUGGAACAAUGUAAUCAUUACAUCAUACGCAUACAUAACUUUCUCGAUCUCCUGGUAGGUACAAUGGCUCACUGAAAUGAUCUGAUUUUUAUAUUUA